GCCCAGGUGGCGAAAUUGGUAGACGCACCAGAUUUAGGUUCUGGCGCCGCAAGGCGUGGGGGUUCGAGUCCCUUCCUGGGCACCA
rnacentral:tRNA from 7 species